CGCCAAGAGUGGUCUACGCCAGUGGCACCUGCGCCUCGCUGCUGAUUCGGCUCUCCUCGAAGCAACCUCUGAUGCGCAGCACAUCCCUGCCCAACGUCUAUUUCAGAGAGGAAAGAAUGGAGGGUGUUUGAUUCAGUGGAUGAAGAUGCAAUGACUUUGAUGGGAAGUGAGAUGCCUGCAUAGUAACAUGAAGCAGGGGACAAAAAAUUCCUUAAAGAAAUGAGGAAAAAAUAACAGGUAUUUUAACAGGGAGAUUUUGGUGCUGGGACUCUGACCAAGGCAUCCAGACACUUCAUCAUAGAGUAAACCAUCGUUGCCAACUCACUUGUUCUCAUGCUGUUGGCCGGAGGGCCAUGGUAGCCCAAAGCCAGGAUUUGCUUCCUUCACAGUGUUGACCAGCACAAUGCUAUACAUCUAAAAUUUGUUUCCAGCUUUCAAGAAGGCGGAUUUCUUACAACCACCAGAAUUCUUAUCUUCUCUUGAGAAACCAGAAGUACAGCAACCCUAAGACCACUUUCUUGAUUAAAAUGAUCAACUGGAGCUGAUUGUUCAGAAAGGAAUACUUCUUCUCCAGCUCAGCACAGCGUCUGUCAAUCCCUGGGUCUUCCCCCACACUGAGGCUGUCAGUCACCUACCUGUCCAUGUACGAAAGCCUGGCUGACGUCACUCAUUCACAUUACUCCUGGCUGCCACUGGCAACCCCUCUGACCCCUUACCAUAGUGAAGUCAGUCUACUAUCCUUGUCUGCUGUUACCAGCACUGCGUCAAGUGUUUUACUUCAAGGUCCCUUUCACCCUCCCAGACAAGAACAUUUUUGUUUGCUUCCUUUGUUCUGAGGGAAUUGUUUCUGCCAUUGGUUACCCUUUCUUCUCUGGGACCAUUACUUGUCCAAAUAUUUUGUGUCUAUCUUAAUGUCUUUCAUGU